CUCUUUGGACCUCUGGCCCUGGGGCUCCUGCUGCUGCUGCCUGCAUGCCGAGUUCCCCCUCCUCCCCCAUCCUGCCCCGCGAAUCAGCUGUGUAACAAGCUCUGGGAGGGAAGAGAAGCAGGAAGCGGCAGCGGGCUCACGGAGGAGGAGGAGUGAAGGUGAAGGUGGAACUCCACCCAGCCUGGAUGGUCUGUUUGACUUAUGCAGCAGUAUCAAUGAUCACAUCGUGAAGCAGCACCACAACCUUACCUUGCCUCUCUGGAGGCAACCAGUAUUUCUAUCCACGACACCUGACACAUCAGGUAGACAACAGAGAAGAAGAUGAAGAACCCCAGUGUGAUACUUGAAGAGGUUUGGAAAUCCCAGGAGAAUGAAUUCCCUCACCGUGGUGUGAUUCUCCAUCUUCUGUCUGUCCACUUCACCUGUUACCUGUGAACAAAAGAACCACCCCGAAAGGGAACAGCAAUCAGAAAAAGGAAUAUUGUCAACAUCGCAACUUCAGUGGCCGCAAUAAUUCAGGCCAAUCCAAUGGAACAAAGAAGCUAGCCACUCCUGUCUCCUGUUCUGAGAAGCUUAUCAGAUGGCAACAACCAGCAGUAAGGGCAACCUAGAACUUGGCUGGACAGUACU